CCGCGCGCCCCUCCCGCCGCAAAUAAUUAACUGGAACCAAUAAAACGUUGAUGGCGGCGCCUUUGUAGGCACUGCGGCGGCUUUGUCAUGGAAAGUGCGGUCCCCACCCGCCCUGUCCCCGCAGCUGGCCGAGAGUCGCCCGAGCCACCUGGACGGGACCCGGGACCCGCGCCGGCCCAUCUGCCGCGCCGUCAGCUGCGGGGAACAGGGGAGGCGGGCCGCUCCAAGUCUACGAGUCCACAAAACUUCAGGCAAAUGGUGGCACUGGAAACCGCGAGACCAGCGGGCAGGCCUGAUUUUUCAUGGAAUGCUUUCAUCUCGGUCGGCGCUGCAGGCCCUGGAGAAAGGGUCCGAGAGUGCUCAUGGAACAGGAAUCCAGCGCUGCCCUCAGCUGACAAGGACACGGGGAAUACCUCACGGCUGGGAGGGCCUGUGGUUUGCAGCAGACUCUCAUUGGAUGGAACAGGAGCAACAGAAGAGGCCAAGAAAAGACCUGGAGAUGCCCCUGAGACCUGACACAGCAGCACAAGUCACCUCAAAAUGUAGACCUCACAGUUAAGAGAUUGUCCUGAGUCUCAGAAGAGACUUAAGACUUUGGACAGUGUUGAGUCUGCUGAAGACUAUGGAGAUCUUUGAAGUUGGACCAAAUGCAUAUUGCAUCAUAAAAUGGCCUGCUUCAAGUUA